AAUGAACGUUGGCGGCAUGGAUUAGGCAUGCAAGUCGAGCGCGAAACGUAGCAAUACGUGGAGAGCGGCGAAAGGGAGAGGAAUAUGUGGGAACCUACCUUCGGGCCUGGAAUAGCGGCGGGAAACUGCCGGUAAUGCCAGAUAACGUCCCCGGACCAAAGGUGUGAUUCCGCCUGGAGAUGGGCCCACAUCCUAUCAGCUUGUUGGUGAGGUAACGGCUCACCAAGGCUAAGACGGGUAUGGGGUGUGAGAGCAUGCCCCCACUCACUGGGACUGAGACACUGCCCAGACACCUACGGGUGGCUGCAGUCGAGAAUCUUCGGCAAUGAGCGCAAGCUUGACCGAGCGAUGCCGCGUGCGGGAUGAAGGCCCUCGGGUUGUAAACCGCUGUCGUAGGGGAAUAAAGGUCGGUGGGUUCUCCCAUCGAUUUGAAUGAUCCUAGGAGGAAGGACGGGCUAAGUUCGUGCCAGCCGCCGCCGUAAUAC
rnacentral:rRNA from 1 species